rnacentral:tRNA from 1 species
GCGCCCAUAGCUCAAUUGGAUAGAGUGAACGGCUACGAACCGUUAGGUUGUAGGUUCAAAUCCUACUGGGCGCA